rnacentral:rRNA from 1 species
GAUAAACGCUGGCGGCGUGCCUUAUGCAUGCAAGUCGUACGCGUCCAAGGCUUCGGCCUGAAGACGAGUGGCGGACGGGUGAGUAACACGUACGUGACCUGUCCAGAAGUGGGGAAUAACCAGCCGAAAGGUUGGCUAAUACCGCAUGUGGUCACCCCUUGGAAGGGGAGUGCCCAAAGCCGCAAGGCGCUUCUGGAGGGGCGUGCGGCCGAUUAGCUUGUUGGUGUGGUAACGGCGCACCAAGGCUGUGAUCGGUAGCUGGUCUGAGAGGAU